UUCUUUCAGAAAAAGUAGGUGGUGAAUUUCAAAUCUGAGCGCUUUUUAUUCAGUUUAAAGCAAUGAACGUUUUUGCCUACUUGUUUAUUUGUGCCUUCACUUUUUGUCACACAGAAUGUAUGCAGAAAUAUGUUAAAAAAAAGUCAAUUUGGGAAUAGGAACGACUCCGUAGUCCACCUACAACCCUAGUAAAGCUGAAUGUUAUUACCAAAAAUCGCAAUACUAUUUGACCAGAUGUUUUCUUAUACUUCUUAACCUAUCUCCUCAUGCCCUCCGAAAAGAAAUAUGUUUUUCUAUGAUUUUUUAUAUUUGGCUGGCCAAGAGGUGAAUACGCUGUUACAACAAUUCCGUUGUAGUGACAGUAGUCAACCAAAUCUUUUUGCAAAAAACCAGGCCAGAUUUCUACCUAAUUUGCCACUGGUUUUGAGGAACUGCAAUGAAUGAUACGCUGUACCUGUUCCAUAUUAAAGUUCGAAAACCCGAUGCUACGAACCAAGCCUAGUUUCACGAGUUCCUCCAUAGCUUUCCAUGUGUCUAUACAAUCAACGUCGCUGAAUGUGAGGAAACCUAUUAGAUGACCUCAACCUAUUCAUUCUCUCCAGUAGUAUUUGACUUGUCUGCAAUUUACCGUCAGAUAUUGGCUUCAGAAUCUCAUCACACAUAUUUUUGUAGCCCACAGGAAAAUGAAGCAAGUAUAGGUCGAUGUAGUUAAAUCCCAGCAGUUUCAGUUUCUGCUUAGCAAAAGUUUCGUAUAAGCCAUACGAGCGUUUUGUAGGAAGUUCAAAGCACAACCAUGCGGUCUUAAUUAUCAGGAACAAGAGUAGAGGGCCCGCUGACUCACUUUUAGCGUCGUUCACCCCAGUGUUAAACUUUGAGUCAAUCAUCAAUCGUCUCGAUUUUACAUAUUCGGACAAGCGUCUGAUAACUUUGCCAGGGCAAGAGCUUGCCACAUAGCGACAGGGUGGACUGUCCAUCACUCAGUUCUACGAAGAGGUCGAGAAGAAGCUCACCCUUCUCACAAAUAAGACGAUCAAGUCACAAGAUGCCACACAGGCGCAAUACAUUAACGAAAAGUAUAGGGCUGACGAACUCCGUGUCUUCGUUUCAGGCUUAAGAAGAGGCCUCACGGAUACAUUAUUUGCGGCACAGCCUGCGGACUUGCCAUCAGCCUUGGCCUUGGCACAAGAACUUGAGGCCAACCAUGAUAGGCAGGACUUUGAAACAAAUUACGCAAGAGCUUUAGAAAGCAAAGCACAGAACCCAACAAAAUAUAGGGCAGGGCGGACAGAAUGAUCCCGAUCACUGUGAGAGACAAUGAAAGAACCCGUUCUACACGAACAAUCAGGGGAACCAUCGAACAGGUGGUCACCGUAGCCAAGACAAAGUAGAGAUGAUGGGUGUUGAUCCAUAUUCCUCUAAAUUCCAUCAUCCAACUGGCUUUCAAAAGCAACAGGGGCACAACCCAGGCCUACCGGAUACAGCAAACCCUAAAACCGGUCACCAACAUGGUGCGUAUAAAAGGCCGGUUGGAUCCCAGAGAUUCUCCGACCAGCGCAGGCAGAGGAUCAAUCAAUCAGCAGAGGAUCAAUCACCUAACUCAGGUGGACCCGUACAAAUACAAAAGACAAUACGAACAGUACAAUAAGCGGUUAUUAACUUGUCUUGUCGUGCCGCCGAUCCUUUUUACACUGACUCAUUCUAUUGAGAUGGGCGACAAUCGACCAUUUUUCUUUUUUUUUUAAUUUUAUCGCUACAGCGAAAUUGGUUGGUCGCAGACGAUGAGUCCGCAUUGACCAGUUACAAAUGUUACUACAAAUUUUGAACUAAAAAAAUAGUUGUUUGCCGAACGAACAAUAAAAAUAUAUUUGAACAAUCGACCAUACCAUACGAUAGUUAAUUAACUACAGAUGGUUGAUGAAAUAUCGAUAGCUAAUAAAAUAUCAAUAGCAGGCUGACAAUAUUAGGGGUGGAAACGUGGUGACGGUUAAAAAUUAAAAAUUUUGAUUAUCAUAAAUGAACUAGCAACAAACCCACUAAAAGAACUUAAAGGUAGCCGACAGCGCUGGGGAAGAAGAGCAAGGGUUGCUAGGUGGCAAGGAGGAGAGAAGGAAACGUGGCCGUAAAGGUUAUAUUGCGAUGGUCAGUUUCCGGGAAGAAGUGCAAGAGAUUGGUCGGCAACCUAAAACAAAAAAAGAGAACAAUAAAAUCAGUGCCCAGACCCGUACAAAAAAGAACAUCAUGAAACCGACAACCGUGAAGCGAGGCGACGACGUCGCUGGAAGGAGGAGAAGGCAGCAGCGGACACCACGCAGAGAGCCGACAGCUGGGUCAGCGACAAGACUGGCCCGGCCGGAGCACCCCGGGAGGAUCAGAGCGCCAGAUCCAGAGAAAACACCUGCCCACGGCACCGGCAAAUCCAACACACCGCACCGGAACAUUCAACGCCCCGCACACCGCAACAUCACAUCAUCAUAUAAAUCAUAUCCACAUCACGCAUCCAUCACACACACACCCGCAUGUAUUAAAAUAGCAAAUAGACGCACAUAUUAACCCCAUUAUGAAUAUAUUUAAAUUUGAAUAAUAAUACCAACAAGCCCCAUAACAUAUUCACAUACACAUAUGCACUCAUUUUCUACAACCUCAUUCGCACGUCAUAUAUUUAUUCCCGAAACAUCUAAUCAAUUAACACUUAGCACAUAUAUUUUCGUUUGACUUAAAAUUCCACAACACAACAAUCACAUUUUUUUUUUUUUUUUUUUUUUUUUUUUUUUUUUUCUCUCUCUUUAUAUUUACA
rnacentral:lncRNA from 1 species